GACACGGUCCAAACUCCUACGGGAGGCAGCAGUGGGGAAUAUUGCACAAUGGGCGAAAGCCUGAUGCAGCAACGCCGCGUGAGUGAUGAAGGCCUUCGGGUCGUAAAACUCUGUCCUCAAGGAAGAUAAUGACGGUACUUGAGGAGGAAGCCCCGGCUAACUACGUGCCAGCAGCCGCGGUAAUACGUAGGGGGCUAGCGUUAUCCGGAUUUACUGGGCGUAAAGGGUGCGUAGGCGGUCUUUCAAGUCAGGAGUGAAAGGCUACGGCUCAACCGUAGUAAGCUCUUGAAACUGGGAGACUUGAGUGCAGGAGAGGAGAGUGGAAUUCCUAGUGUAGCGGUGAAAUGCGUAGAUAUUAGGAGGAACACCAGUUGCGAAGGCGGC
rnacentral:rRNA from 1 species